AGUGAACGCUGGCGGUAGGCCUAACACAUGCAAGUCGAACGGCAGCACCGUAAGAGCUUGCUCUUACGGGUGGCGAGUGGCGGACGGGUGAGGAAUACAUCGGAAUCUACUUUUUCGUGGGGGUUAACGUAGGGAAACUUACGCUAAUACCGCAUACGACCUACGGGUGAAAGCAGGGGAUCUUCGGACCUUGCGCGAUUGAAUGAGCCGAUGUCGGAUUAGCUAGUUGGCGGGGUAAAGGCCCACCAAGGCGACGAUCCGUAGCUGGUCUGAGAGGAUGAUCAGCCACACGGGAACUUGGACACGGACUAGGCGCCUGCGGGAGGCAGCAGUGGGGAAUAUUAGACAAUGGGCGCAAGCCUGGUCCAGCCAUACCGCGUGGGUUAAGAAGGCCUUCGGGUUGUAAAGCCCUUUUUUUGGGAAAGAAAAGCAGCAGGUUAAGACCCCGCUGUUCUGACGGUACCCAAAGAAUAAGCACCGGCUAACUUCGUG
rnacentral:rRNA from 1 species